UGGACUGGUUUCACAUACAGAUGUAAGUAUUUAAUUUUCUUCUUUCCACUUCACCACAUUAUAUUAUGUAAUAUUAUUAUUUGUGUAUUGUGUGUUCUCUACAGGUUGCAGCAUCUGCAUCUGAGGUUGAGAAGACACUCAAUCUACCUGCCAAUCCUCAUCUGAUUUUGCUGGUGUCCAGUCAACAUUUUUGACUGCAGUUGCAACAGUGUUUGCUGUGUACUACAUCUUCAACCUGCAGUAUCAAGAGGCGGCUUGUUGCACGUUAGAGUUUUUUCAAAGAUGAUUCUAUGGAAUAAACCCAGAAAGAGGCUCAAAAACCUGCCGAGGCAAGGUAGUCUCCAAGAAGACGGGGAAGGUGGUGAUUAAGAAGUCCACUACAGUCAAUCCAAAGGUUGCCACUCUACAAAAAAAUCGAAUGGACUUCAAAUGGGACUUC